rnacentral:lncRNA from 1 species
GGAUCGAACCCACAACCUCAUGGUUCCUAGUCGCAAUCCAACUUAUUUUUGCCACCAGUUCAAGUAACAGACAACGUAUCAGCCUAAACCUGGCCAAUAGUGCACAUUCUUGUCAGCUGAAAGGAAGCGGGCAGAAAACAAGCAGACAGGAUAAAAUUUUGUUUUUUUAUUUUAACUGAGUACACCAAGGUAUAUAUAAAAACGCUUCUUUUGUGAUAUAAGGAAAAAACACAAUUUCAGGCACAAAUCUGGUUCCUGGAGGGAAAAAGUUCAUUCUAUAAUCACUAUUCAUGGAUGAAAACCAGCUCCACCAGCUGUGAAAAGUGGAGAGAAAACUGCGGGCUUCCGCAAAGGUGAUGCCUAUCAGUUUAGAAUCUCGCAUAUUAAUUGACGUGUUCACCUUUGAGCAACCGCUUUCUCUUAAUCGGGGAGGGGGAAGGGUUGCGUGCGCCCAGGUGGCCUGACCUUAAUUGCUUGUUAACUCGCCAACGUUUCUUGCUUCUCCAGCAGAUACUCAGGGCUGGGUUUGUUAAGAGUUCCGGACGAAGCUUGGAACCCAGGAGCUCUGAGCUACCCGGGCCCUCCCCGCCGCGCAUCCCAGCCUGCCCGUCCCGUGCCCGGCGUCCUGCCGGGGGCCUCGGGAUGCAGGAGGAAAAGGAAGGUCCUUUGCAGUCUGUUCAGAAAAAGGAUGGGAGUGGACUGGUCCAGGAUGCUUUCUAUGUAAAGAUAAAGUUUGUGUUCUGUGUGUGUGUGCGCGUCACAUGCUGUGUCAAGUCCUGUGUCCCAGGGGCCGUCAGCAUGAAUGUUCUCCAGUUGCUCGAGCCAGACACAGCGAAAUCCUCUUUGCGUCUCCGGCUUCCCUAAUCACUCACACGCAGUUUAUCACCAUGAGUUGGCAAUUGUACCCUUGAUUGCCCUACUACUAUCCUAGCCAUCUUGCAUCCGGUGCUAUUCUAGUAGACAGCAUGGACCCACUUCUUGCUCUCACAGAGCUUCCAGCCUAGCAGAGAGCCGAAGAGACAGAUGAGGAACAAAAGUAAGGGAGAGACCGAGUUAGGAAGAAAAGGAAUUGGAUGUUGUGAUGGAGAAUCAUUGCGAGUGGAGGGAGGUGCUUGACUAACCUAAGAGAAGGUCCUGGAAGACCUACCUAAAAAUGGGAUACUGAGGUGAGAUCUGAGGGGGGUGG